rnacentral:rRNA from 1 species
AUUGAACGCUGGCGGAAUGCUUUACACAUGCAAGUCGAACGGUAGAGGGGGCAACCCCUCGAGAGUGGCGAACGGGUGAGUAAUAUAUCGGAACGUGCCCAGUCGUGGGGGAUAACGUAGCGAAAGUUACGCUAAUACCGCAUACGAUCUAAGGAUGAAAGCGGGGGAUCGCAAGACCUCGCGCGAUUGGAGCGGCCGAUAUCAGAUUAGGUAGUUGGUGGGGUAAAGGCGCACCAAGCCAACGAUCUGUAGCGGGUCUGAGAGGACGACCAGCCACACUGGAACUGAGACACGGUCCAGACUCCUACGGGAGGCAGCAGUGGGGAAUUUUGGACAAUGGACGCAAGUCUGAUCCAGCCAUUCCGCGUGCAGGAUGAAGGCCCUCGGGUUGUAAACUGCUUUUGUACGGAACGAAAAGGUCUCUCUUAAUACGGGGGACUCAUGACGGUACCGUGAGAAUAAGCACCGGCUAACUACGUGCCAGCCGCCGCAGUAA